AUUGAACGCUGGCGGCAGGCCUAACACAUGCAAUUCGAACGAGUGGCGGACGGGUGAGUAAUGUCUGGGAAACUGCCCGAUGGAGGGGGAUAACUACUGGAAACGGUAGCUAAUACCGCAUACCAUCGGAUGUGCCCAGAUGGGAUGAGCUUGUAGGUGAGGUAACGGCUCACCUAGGCGACGAUACCUAGCUGGUCGGAGAGGAUGACCAGCCACAUUGGAACUGAGAAAGGGUCCAGAAUCCUCCGGGAGGCAGAAGUGGGGAAUAGUGCAGAAGGGGUGAAAGCCGGAUGCAGACAUGCCGCGUGUAUGAAGAAGGCCUUCGGGUUGUAAAGUACGUUCAGCGGGGAGGCGUUACCCGCAGAAGAAGCACCGGCUAACGCCGUGCCAGCAGCCGCGGUAAUUC
rnacentral:rRNA from 1 species